GGAGGAUUCGCCUAGUGGCCUAGGGCGCACGCCUGGAACGCGUGUUGGGGGCAACCCCUCGCGGGUUCGAAUCCCGCAUCCUCCGCCA
rnacentral:tRNA from 1 species